GCCAUGGAAGCCUCCUGAGUUCAUCAACUCUGAUCUUAUUUAGACAAGGCCAUAUUCAAAGUGGAAGUUCUCUCCUCCCUUCAGAGAAAGAAAACGGGAGGAGGAACAAAAGUGUCCUUGGCUCACAGACAUUCUGAAACCAAGAGGUGGAAACACUGCAAGUUCCUUGAGGAAGACUUAGGACUUCAGAAUAAUUCUCCAUAGAUCUUGGUUCUGAUGCUUUAGAUCUGAUUUCUGCAUCAUCUUUUUGAUUUUAUGAAAGCUUUUAACUGACCAAGGAGACCAGUUUCAUGCUGACACUUCUGUCUUUUCAAGAUUAUUCCAUCUCUGGAUGGAGUACUCUUUUCCUGACACAACAUGUUAUGUGAGUAUAUCCCAGGAAAUGAUGCAAGGAAUAUAACUAUGGAGAAAUAUCAGAUUAAGUACAAAUUGAGAAAUAAUCUACAAAAUAACUGCACAGUAAUAGUUGAAUACAUUUAUGUUUUCCAAGAAUGAGGAACUAUUCCAUUUUAAAAACUAAAGAGAUAUGGGCCGGCGCCGCGGCUCACUAGGCUAACCCUCCGCCUAGCGGCGCCGGCACACCGGGUUCUAGUCCCGGUCGGGGCGCCGGAUUCUGUCCCGGUUGCCCCUCUUCCAGGCCAGCUCUCUGCUGUGGCCAGGGAGUGCAGUGGAGGAUGGCCCAAGUGCUUGGGCCCUGCACCCCAUGGGAGACCAGGAAAAGUACCUGGCUCCUGGCUCAUGCCAUUGGAUCAGCGCGGUGCGCCGGCCGCAGCACGCUGGCCGCGGCGGCCAUUGGAGGGUGAACCAACGGCAAAGGAAGACCUUUCUCUCUGUCUCUCUCUCUCACUGUCCACUCUGCCUGUCAAAAAAAUAAAAAAAUAAAAAAAAAACUAAAGAGAUAUGACACAUAAAUGCUAUAUGAUCUUUUACUGAAGACACAAAAAUAUGAAAUGAAUAUUAUGGAAGUGAUGGCAAACUGGAACGUGCACUAUAGAUUAAAGUAUUGUAUUUAUGUUAAACUUCCUAAAUAUAACUCAACUGUGAUUUUUGUAAUAGAAUAUCCAUGUUCUUAGGAAACAUACACUGAAGUAUAAAGUGGUAAAAGACAGGCUUCAUGCAACUUAUUACACAUAGGUAUAGAAAAUAAGA